AAGUGAGGAUAGAGAAAUAGAAAGUGCAAUUUAUAAAUAAAAUGUUUUGCUAACCCACUAGAACUAUAAAAUAUAUUUAAUAUUUCAACAUGAAUACAAUUCAGUAUUUUGGCAAGAAUCUGACCAGAUGUAGAUCUCCAUGACUUCAUUGUUACAAAAAUUAAAGUUCAAUUAUUUAUAUAAGUGAAGUUUAAUGGUAAUUAUGUGCAUUAAUAACAAGUCCAUUGAUGACAAGUGAAACAUUACCUGAUUACGAGCAUACUUAGGUGUUAAGGCUGUUCAUGAAUUUGAAGGUUAAAUUUUUACAAUUGUCCCUGAAUUUAUCUAG
rnacentral:misc_RNA from 1 species